rnacentral:rRNA from 1 species
UGAGGAAUAUUGGGCAAUGCCCGCAAGGGUGACCCAGCAACGCCGCGUGGAGGAUGAAAGUCGUAAGAUUGUAAACUCCUGUGAGAGGGGACGAAUAACUCCGGUCAAACCGGAGCUUGACUGUACCCUCAGAGGAAGCCCCGGCUAACUACGUGCUAGCAGCCGCGGUAAUACGUAGGGGGCAAGCGUUGUCCGGAUUUACUGGGUGUAAAGGGCGCGCAGGCGGAUUGAUAAGUCAGAGGUGAAAUCCUGCAGCUCAACUGCAGAACUGCCUUUGAUACUGCCAAUCUUGAGUGCGGAAGAGAGAGACGGAAUUCCAGGUGUAGUGGUGAAAUACGUAGAUAUCUGGAAGAACACCAGUUGCGAAGGCGGUCUCUUGGUCCGUUACUGACGCUCAGGCGCGAAAGCGUGGGUAGCAAACAGGAUUAGAUACCCUGGUAGUCCACGCUGUAAACGAUGAAUACUAGGUGUUGGGCCGCAAGGUUCAGCG